rnacentral:rRNA from 1 species
GUGGGGAAUUUUGGACAAUGGGCGCAAGCCUGAUCCAGCAAUGCCGCGUGCAGGAAGAAGGCCUUCGGGUUGUAAACUGCUUUUGUACGGAACGAAACGGUCCGGGUUAAUACCCUGGGCUAAUGACGGUACCGUAAGAAUAAGCACCGGCUAACUACGUGCCAGCAGCCGCGGUAAUACGUAGGGUGCGAGCGUUAAUCGGAAUUACUGGGCGUAAAGCGUGCGCAGGCGGUGCUGUAAGACAGGCGUGAAAUCCCCGGGCUCAACCUGGGAAUUGCGCUUGUGACUGCAGUGCUGGAGUGCGGCAGAGGGGGAUGGAAUUCCGCGUGUAGCAGUGAAAUGCGUAGAUAUGCGGAGGAACACCGAUGGCGAAGGCAAUCCCCUGGGCCUGCACUGACGCUCAUGCACGAAAGCGUGGGGAGCAAACAGGAUUAGAAACCCCAGUAGUCC